rnacentral:rRNA from 1 species
AUUGAACGCUGGCGGCAGGCUUAACACAUGCAAGUCGAGCGGGGGGAGGUAGCUUGCUACCGGACCUAGCGGCGGACGGGUGAGUAAUGCUUAGGAAUCUGCCUAUUAGUGGGGGACAACAUCUCGAAAGGGAUGCUAAUACCGCAUACGUCCUACGAGAGAAAGCAGGGGAUCUUCGGACCUUGCGCUAAUAGAUGAGCCUAAGUCGGAUUAGCUAGUUGGUGGGGUAAAGGCCUACCAAGGCGACGAUCUGUAGCGGGUCUGAGAGGAUGAUCCGCCACACUGGGACUGAGACACGGCCCAGACUCCUACGGGAGGCAGCAGUGGGGAAUAUUGGACAAUGGGGGGAACCCUGAUCCAGCCAUGCCGCGUGUGUGAAGAAGGCUUUAUGGUUGUAAAGCACUUUAAGCGAGGAGGAGGCUACUUUAGUUAAUACCUAGAGAUAGUGGACGUUACUCGCAGAAUAAGCACCAGCUAACUCUGUGCCAGCAGCCGCAGUAAUAC